GACGAACGCUGGCGGCGUGCUUAACACAUGCAAGUCGAGCGGUAAGGCCCUUUCGGGGGUACGACGAGCGGCGAACGGGUGAGUAACACGUGGGUGACCUGCCCUCAGCUCUGGGAGUAAGCCUGGGAAACGUGGGUCUAAUACCGGAUAUGACUCCAUGACGCAUGUUGUGGGGUGGAAAGCCUUGUGCGGCUGAGGAUGGGCCCGCGGCCUAUCAGCUUGUUGGUGGGGUGANGGCCUACCAAGGCGACGACGGGUAGCCGGCCUGAGAGGGCGACCGGCCACACUGGGACUGA
rnacentral:rRNA from 1 species